rnacentral:misc_RNA from 1 species
GAUGAAGAACGUAGCGAAAUGCGAUAAGUAAUGUGAAUUGCAGAAUUCAGUGAAUCAUCGAAUCUUUGAACGCACAUUGCGCCCGCCAGUAUUCUGGCGGGCAUGCCUGUCUGAGCGUCAUUUCAACCCUCAUGCCCCUAGGGCGUGGUGUUGGGGAUCGGCCAAAGCCCGCGAGGGACGGCCGGCCCCUAAAUCUAGUGGCGGACCCGUCGUGGCCUCCUCUGCGAAGUAAUGAUAUUCCGCAUCGGAGAGCGACGAGCCCCUGCCGUUAAACCCCCAACUUUCCAAGGUUGACCUCAGAUCAGGUAGGAAUACCCGCUGAACUUAAGCAUAUCAAUAAGCGGAGGA